CUGAUGGAGGCGCAUGGGUUGAGGUCGGCCUCGACCGCCCUGUACCCCUUAAAUCAAAAAGAAGAUUCCAGAAGGGGCAGCGCCUGAACGUCAG
rfam:Methanosaeta thermophila PT, complete genome.